GACGAACGCUGGCGGCGUGCUUAAUACAUGCAAGUCGAGGGGCAGCAGGGGUAGCAAUACUCGCUGGCGACCGGCAAACGGGUGCGGAACACGUACGCAAUCUACCCAAAACUGAUGAAUAGCCCUCCGAAAGGAGGAUUAAUACAUCGUAACAUUAUAGAGUGGCAUCACUUUAUGAUUAUAGCUCUGGCGGUUUUGGAUGAGCGUGCGGCUGAUUAGANAGUUGGCAGGGUAACGGCCUACCAAGUCUACGAUCAGUAACUGGUGUGAGAGCACGACCAGUCACACGGGCACUGAGACACGGGCCCGACUCCUACGGGAGGCAGCAGUAAGGAAUAUUGGUCAAUGGACGCAAGUCUGAACCAGCCAUGCCGCGUGAAGGGAUGAAGAUCCUCUGGAUU
rnacentral:rRNA from 1 species